GAUAGCAUGCACGUUGCACGCACCAUUUCCUAAUGGAUCACUGAAGCUAAGCAACGUUGCGCGUGGUUGGUAUUCGGAUGGGUGACGAACUGGGCAGUUAUAUAGUACUAGCU
rnacentral:rRNA from 1 species